UGGGUUAGUGGCGGACGGGUGAGUAACGCGUGGGUAACCUGCCUUACACAGGGGGAUAACACUUAGAAAUAGGUGCUAAUACCGCAUAAGCGCACGGGGCUGCAUGGCCCAGUGUGAAAAACUCCGGUGGUAUAAGAUGGACCCGCGUCUGAUUAGCUUGUUGGCGGGGUAACGGCCCACCAAGGCGACGAUCAGUAGCCGGCCUGAGAGGGUGGACGGCCACAUUGGGACUGAGACACGGCCCAAACUCCUACGGAAGGCAGCAG
rnacentral:rRNA from 1 species